CGGUUGAUCCUGCCGGACCCUAUUGCUAUCGGGGUAAGACUAAGCCAUGCAAGUUGUGCGCUCCCAAGCUAUUGUGGGAGAGCAGCAAACGGCUCAGUAACACGUAGUCAACCUACCCUUGGGACGGGUAUAAACCCGGGAAACUGGGUUUAAUACCCGAUAAGUGAAAAGCCCUGGAAUGGCUUUUCACUGAAAGAUAUCAAAAACAUGCUUUUGAUAUCGCCCAAGGAUGGGACUGCGGCCGAUCAGGUUGUUGGUAAGGUAACGGCUUACCAAGCCUAUAACCGGUACGGGCCCUGAGAGGGGUAGCCCGGAGAUGGGAACUGAGACAAGGUCCCAGGCCCUACGGGGCGCAGCAGGCGCGAAACCUCCACAAUGCACGAAAGUGCGAUGGGGUUAUCCCGAGUGCCACCCUUUGAGGGUGGCUUUUCUUUGGCGUAGUGAGCCAAGGGAAUAAGAGGGGGGCAAGACUGGUGUCAGCCGCCGCGGUAAUACCAGCCCCUCGAGUGGUAGGGAUGAUUAUUUAGCCUAAAGCGUCCGUAGCUGGCCUAAUAAGUCCCUUGUGAAAUCCGACGAUUCAAUCGUCGGGCGCGCAAGGGAUACUAUUAGGCUAGGGGGCGGGAGAAGUCAACGGUAUUCUCAGGGUAGGGGUGAAAUCCUGUAAUCCUGAGAAGACCACCAGUGGCGAAGGCGGUUGACUAGAACGCGCCCGACAGUGAUGGACGAAAGCUGGGGGAGCGAACCGGAUUAGAUACCCGGGUAGUCCCAGCUGUAAACGAUGCGGGCUAGGUGUUGAGAUGGCCACGAGCCAUCUCAGUGCCGCAGGGAAGCCCUUAAGCCCGCCGCUUGGGAAGUACGGCCGCAAGGCUGAAACUUAAAGGAAUUGGCGGGGGAGCAC
rnacentral:rRNA from 1 species